rnacentral:piRNA from 1 species
GAGAGGAACGUGGCUGCAUAGUUGAUGUC